rnacentral:rRNA from 1 species
AUGUUCAAGUUGUGCAACAUGAAGCCAGCUUUGCCAACCACUUUCCCUAUGCCAGACUUCCAUGAGCGAGAGUUGUGUGACAAAAUUGAUUUUGUUGUUGACCAGAAUCUGUUCUUCUUGAGUGAGGCUGAAAAGAAUCCAAUUGACAUGGAGGAAGUAGGGAAGGGUCUUGAUUGGGUUCAUUCAAAGCAGAAAUACAAGGAAUAUUUGAAGCAGCUUCCAGAUAUCAGCUCCAGCAAGAGCAAGGCAGCAUCUAUGGCAAACCUUCAUGUGGUCCAGAAGAGCAAAGGAGUUACAAUGAAGAAGAAUCUGAAGUUGCCUCAAACCAAGCAACAGAUGCCGAGGGCUGAUGCAGAAAUAAAUGUGGACAAGGAAGUUGUGGUGCAAACUGUUGUACCAACUAUUAAGGGGAAGAUUCCUUUGUCAACAGCCCCACCUAAACCAGCUAAGCAGCAAAAGAUUGUCAAGUUUGCCAAGGGCACAAAGGAGGAACAGGCCAGAAAAGGUGUGGGGUCCAGACACGAGACAGAACAACGUGCCACAGCCAUUGAUGCGGGACUGCCAAGUUCUACUAGUUUGGUGUCAACUCAGGCUACAAAGGUGCCAACUGCAGAUACCAGUGUACUAACUGAAGUGGUCAUAGUCAAAACUAGCAGAGUUGCUCGGGAAGACUCAACUGCAACCACAAGCCCCAAGGUGACAAUUCAUAGAGAUUCUUCAAUGCCAAACGCGGAAGGAGGUUGUCAAUCUGUCAAAUUGCCAUCUCCAAGAGUUAUCACAGAGCAUCCAAGCAAGUCUGCAUCACCAAGAGCUGAUUUUCAGAACACAUUAACACAAGAGGAGGUGUUCGACAUUGUAAUCAGGUGCAAGCCUCCCAAGACGCCAACCACAACAUUACUGCGAACUAGGUCACCGAAUGAUGCACAUGUGAAUGUGCCGCAAGAAGAUAGUGAUGUAAUUGGGUAG